rnacentral:rRNA from 1 species
AGAGUUCGAUCCUGGCUCAGGAUGAACGCUGGCGGCAAGCUUAACACAUGCAAGUCAGACGGGAAACACGGGAAACGGUGUUUCCAGUGGUGGACGGGUGAGUAACGCGUAAGAACCUGCCUUUGGGAGGGGAACAACAGCUGGAAACGGUUGCUAAUACCCCAUAGGCUGAGGACCAAAAGGAGGAAUCCACCCGAGGAGGGGCUCGCAUUUGAUUAGAUAGUUGGUGAGGCAAUAGCUUACCAAGGCGAUGAUCAGUAACUGGUCCGAGAGGAUGAUCAGCCACACUGGGACUGAGACACGGACUAGACUCCUACGGAAGGCAGCAGUUGGGAAUUUUCUGCAAUGGGCGAAAGCCUGACGGAUCAAUGUCGCGUGGAGGUAGAAGGCCCACAAGUUGUGAACUUCUUUUCCUGGAGAAGAAGCAAUGACGGUAUCUGGGGAAUACGCAUCGGCUAACUCUGUGCCAGCAGCCGCGGUAAUACAGAGGAUGCAAGCGUUAUCCGAAAUAAUUGGGCGUAAAGCAUCUGUAGGUGGCUUUUUAAGUCCGCUGUCAAAUCCCAGGGCUCAACCCUGGACAGGCGGUGGAAACUACCAAGAUAGAGUACGGUAGGGGCAGAGGGAAUUUUCGGUGGAGCGGUGAAAUGCGUAGAGAUCGAAAAGAACACCAACGGCGAAAGCACUCUGCUGGGCUGACACUGACACUGAGAGACGAAAGCUAGGGGAGCGAAUGGGAUUAGAUACCCCAGUAGUCCUAGCCGUAAACGAUGGAUACUAGGCGCUGUGCACAUUGACCCGUGCAGUGUUGUAGCUAACGCAUUAAAUAUCCCACCUGGGGAGUACGUUUGCAAGAAUGAAACUCAAAGGAAUUGAUGGGGGCCCGCACAAGCGGUGGAGCAUGUGGUUUAAUUCGAUGCAAAGCGAAGAACCGUACCAGGGGUUGACAUGCCGCGAAUCCUCUUAAAAGAGAGGGGUGCCUUUGGGAAUGCGGACACAGGUGGUGCAUGGCUGUCAUCAGCUCGUGCCGUAAGGUAUUGGGUUAAGUCUCGCAACAAGCGCAACCCUCGUGUUUAGUUGCCAUCGUUGAGUUUGGAACCCUAAACAAACUACCAGUGAUAAGCCGAAAGAAGGUGAGGAUGACGUCAAGUAAUCAUGCCCCUUAUGCCUUGGGCGACACACGUGCUACAAUGGCCGGGACAAAGGGUCGCGAUCCCGCGAGGGUGAUCUAACCCCAAAAACCCAUCCUCAGCUUGGAUUGCAGGCUUCAACUCGCCUGCAUGAAGCUGGAAUCGCUAGUAAUCGUCGUUCAUCCAUACGGCGGUUAAUUCAUUCCCAGGCCUUGUACACACCGCCCGUCACACUAUGGGAGCUGGCAAUGCCCGAAGUCGUUACCUUAACCACAAGGAGAAAGAUGCUAAAGGAAGGGCUAAUGACUGGAGUGAAGUCGUAACAAGGUAUCCGUACUAGAAGGUAUGGCUG